AAUACAAACUGCGGGUUUUAAGAAAUCAGUUAGGUAGGUAAGUACCUUCCUAUUUGCUACACACUAAGUACCUACAAUGAAUUUUGCAAUUUUGUUGUUUACCCUCGCCAUGUCUGCAUGUGUUAACUAUGGCGUUUAUGGUUUACAUUGCUUAACCUGCCGAGGUGAGGAAAACGGCUGUGGAAGUGGAUCUACUACUCAAGGUGAAGAAUGUGACCCUGGACAUCCGCUUGAGAUAACAACUCAAUAUUGUGUUGCUUAUCGAGAGACAGUUGGCAGAGAUUGUAAUGGAACCCAAGUAAGAAAGUGCACUCCACGCUUGGUGCCCGGGACCGAUCCGUGUGCUGGUUCCGAUAAAUGUAACUGCUUCAAAUGUCAGUCGUAUGAUUGUAACAACCAAGUUCUAUAAGUGGACCAGAAGAAUAAUUUUAGUUUUAUAUGGUGGUGGUCUGUUCCUUACGAAAAAAUUGUUGUUUUUAUCUUUCUGUACCUUGUAAUUCUAAUUAGAAACAUUCAACCUUUCAAUUGUUCCUAUAGAUAUAAUCUUUAGUUUAAAAUGGAUUAAUUUUCGUGUAUCAUGUUAGGUAUCAUUUAUGCAAAGUAUUUAUAAAGGGUUGUAAUAAGCGUA